UACGUAGGGUGCGAGCGUUAAUCGGAAUUACUGGGCGUAAAGGGUGCGCAGGCGGCUAUAUAAGUUAGAUGUGAAAUCCCUAGCUUAACUUAGGAAUGGCAUUUGAUACUGUAUAGCUAGAGUUAUCAGAGGGAGGUAGAAUUCCAAGUGUAGCAGUGAAAUGCGUAGAUAUUGGAGGAAUACCGGUGGCGAAGGGCGGCCUCUGGGAUAAAC
rnacentral:rRNA from 1 species